UGUCAAUCGGAACUCCUCGGCUAGUAUCAAGAUAUGGCCUCGGAUAUAAUACGGGUCGUAAGAAAAUAGUCCAUCAUGGCCGACCAAGAAGAUGUUCAAACAACCAAGAGAUAUGUUAGUCCAAAGACAGAAUGAGGAGCGAACUUUUACCACUUAUUUGUGUAGAAGAGUAUGGUACCAGGGGUGCAGCUGACUCUGAUUCCCGGCUUGUUCAAAUGAAAAAAGGCAGAUGAGGCACUGGAAUCCGAAUGUAAUAAAAAAUGCCAUUGUAUGAGGAUUGAC